GAUGAAGAACGUAGCGAAACGCGAUAUGUAAUGUGAAUUGCAGAAUUCAGUGAAUCAUCGAAUCUUUGAACGCACAUGGCGCCUUCCAGUAUCCUGGGAGGCAUGCCUGUCCGAGCGUCGUUUCAACCCUCGAGCCCCCGUGGCCCGGCGUUGGGGAUCUGCCACGGCAGGCCCCUAAAACCAGUGGCGGACCCGAAGGCCCUCUCCUUUGCGCAGUAGCAUCAGCCUCGCAUUGGGAUCCCUCGGCGUCCUGCCUCUAAACCCCCCACAAGUCCGCUCCGGCGGCACCAAGGUUGACCUCGGAUCAGGUAGGAAUACCCGCUGAACUUAAGCAUAUCAAUAAGCGGAGA
rnacentral:misc_RNA from 1 species